CUCAGAAGGAAUGGACAUUGCUAGGCCAUGUCUGUUAGUGAGUCAGUCUGUUCUUUGAAGCGUAGAUGAAACUUAAUGCUAGCAGAUUUUGUAACCAUGCUGUCCACCACAUCCAGAUCCCAGAAGCUGAAUAACAUUUAACAUGCACCUGUUAAAAUAUGGAACUUAACAGUUCUCUAGUAGGCCAGAUCGCCUGAGCUUGCUUCUUAGACGAAGAUGAAUUUUGAAGCUCAAGAUUUUGAAACCAUUCUGUCCAGUGUCCACCACGUCGUCCAGAGGCCUGGGAGUAACAUUUCACAUGUGCAGUGCCUGCUUGCUUUCGAUAAUGCCUUGGCAAUAAAUGCAUGUAUUUGGCUCAUUUGAUCCUAACUCUGGAAACUAGACAAUGUUUCACCCAUCAAAUUGGUUAAGCUGAACUCAGUUCCCCUGAUAGAUUUGUUUGGAAAAUUCAGCAGUUGGCUGGCCAUAUGCCACAUCUACCUAGAGUAUAUCAAAUGGCAAGCGCAAUCUACCUCUGGCCAUCCCCAAAGAAACUUGUGUUUUAACUGAUAAAUUGUUGAUCAAGACUUUCGUCGCCAGUGCAUCCAUCCUUCCAGUACAACAAGUUGCAUCAGUUCCACAGCUAACAAAAGAUUUCACCAGGAAAAUUAGAAGUGGAUAAACUCUUCUCUUUAAUUCGCAUUUAACAGCGCCAUUGGGGCACCUUUGAUAAACAAGUGAAGUAGUACGUCCUACCAUCGACACCAAAAUCGACUCCUGUAGGAUGUAAAGGAACAAAUUCGUAUUUUCAAGUUUGCGAUAAUGGCAAUCCAGUCUCUCGACUGAGAACAACUCCAACUGGGAACAAACUGUCUUUCCCCGUCAGCUGAUUGACCGCAUUUAGUCAUCUUCAAUUUGAUUCUCUUGACAGUAAUUGUGAAGCAUGAGCGACAGUCGGGAACAGCAACAGUGGCCUUCCAUGGAAAUGAUCUCCAGUUCAGCAGCUGCUGCCGAUUAAUCUUCGGAUCACGAGCUUAUUCGCCCUUUCUGUUUUUUUGCUAAUUAUUUGUUUGGCCGGUUGCGUCGACUCCAUUUGCUGCCCUUGUCACCGCACUACUUCCGCCACUAGACGCCAAGUGGGAAAAGGACUUCAAACGUUUUAUUCAUCGUUAAUAUUUUGCAGUCAACAGUACUACGGGAAAGAGCCGACAGCUAAAGGUGACACUUUCGUAUUUCCUGUGAUUUUUCCCCUCUCAAUUUUCUUCGCCAAACGUCUUGCGAUAGGGAAUUGCGCCGGACCACUCCCGACCUGCUUGUGACUUAUCUCUAAAUCGAUAUUUUCGAUGUGAAAACGGUGCGACACAGGAAGAAGAAAUGAAGAGAAGGCAUUGCCAUCGUGUAUCUACCUUGUGGUUCGUGGUAUUGAGUUCGACCCGGUGGUGCAGCACUUCUACUGGAUAUACGUGAGUUCACAAACAAUUCGUCGUGCGCUAGAUAACAGGACCCAGGCUUCAGUUGUUGUGGCCAAUCCAACACGAGUUCUCUUUUGGAGUUGCUCUAGGUUAAAUGCGAUCAACGCUACCAGAAUCGGUAGUCAUAUUUCUGUUGGUAUCCUGGUUGGAGGUCCGUCUCCACCAACUUGCCGUCCCAAAUCUAUUGGUGCCGUAUACGACGUCAAUAAUCGCGACAAGAUAAGAGAAAUAGAUAUCGACCAACCUUCAGCGCUGACUAUCGACACAGAAGAGAAGAUGACAUUUUGAGCUGACACCAAACAACCGCAGGCAGUUGACCUCUUCUAACUUAGUUAAGCCUACAGGAUUAACAGUUCACGGACAGCACAAUUAUUUGUUGAAGAAAGAAGGCGGCGGAGAAAACGACGUUCCAUUCCCUGGAGGUACGCAGAUAUUGGAAACGAGUGAUCGAAUACAAUUAAGUUGUGUUGAAGAGUGGCCAGCUAUAAAUCACAAAUAGAUCAUCCGAGUCCGAGCAUAUGGAAUAAGAAUCAUUCAGAUCACAUAGAUGAACUAUCAGCCCAAAUCAGAAAAUGCAACUGACAACCGGUGAAGUUUUGUUCGCGCUGUAGAAUAACGGAAACAUCUCCAACUCGUCUACCGAUUUCCGAUGGAGCUCUGCUAUGACCCAUGUUAGUUCUAAGCAGGAAAAAAUUAAGAGUUGUGCAGCCUACUGUCCACUUUAGUUCAAAAUCAUUCUAUUCUACUGAAUGUGCCAUCAAAAUAAUACAGGAUUCAUCUCUCAUUCCAUCUUCUGGAGAACCUAGGAUAACUGAUCGGUGGUUUAUUCAUGUAUAAGUUCACUUGUCAUGUCAGUGAACCACAUCGUCCAAUAUCGCCAACCUGCAGAAGUAACUCAUAUUCCCACUCCCAGUGAGUCGUCUGACCAUGUGUCCUGAAAGUGCUGUCCGUAUGCAGAAAUGUCGUCUCGUACUAGAAAGUAGAAACUUGAAUGGAAUGCGCAUCAUAUCUUGCUGAGUGGGUGUAGGAGAAGGGAUAUGAUUGCUACUGUGGGGUCUGAAAGCUUACAAUAUAUACUUGUCAACUCCAUGUGUUGUUGUGGAGUGCUCUACAAUUUCUGAAGACUUUCACUGCAUGUUGGGAUGUUUUGUUACAUGGAGAAGUACUUUAACUUUGAAGAGGAAAUGUGCAAGGGCCAUGCAGCUUACUGUCCAAUAUUUUGUUCAAAAUAAUUGUUUUCUACUGAAUUCAAAAGCUUAAACAAUCUUUUUCCGUAACUUUUGAAAGGUAGAUUAAUUCAAGCUGGUGACUGAUGGUGUUUGCUGCUCAAUGUGAAGAUGGUGAAAGGAGUGCUUGACUCGGAAUAAGCUGCUAUUGUCUCUGGUGUUGGUGAAUCUACAUUCACUUUGCUUACGGUCUUCAACUUCAUUGGACAUGAGGUAAAGAAUCAGUCAAACAAAUGGUGCUGAAGCCUCUUGAAGAAAGAUGAUGGAUUGCUGUUAUAUUAAUCUUCUCAUGCUUCCCCUAGGAAUCAUUUCAAUUGUGAAGUAGCUAUUCUUGUCCAAAGGUAAAUUCCACUUGGGCAAAUCAUCUGAUCUCGUCUGAGCUUGACUAUUGUCUAUUGUGCAGAAACCAAGUACUUGAUAAAGAGUAAUAAUGUAAGUAUAAUCCUUAGAAGCGCGCUUUCAGUGUCGAUGAUUGAAGACUAGAGAGUAAAUUCCUUUAUUUACCUUUGGUGUAAUUCUUAGUGAAAUCCUAAGUUGUGGUUUUACGUAACUGAACCUACACAUUUUUUCGAAUUAGUUUUGAAUUUUCUGUUCUUGACAUUGUAGAGGUUAUGUUUUCCUUUGGGGUGAUGAUGGGCAAAUGUUGAGAAUGAUAAGUCAAAGGAAUGAGCUAGAACAAUUUUUUUGGUAGCAUGAAACUGUACUUUGAUAGAAAUUUAAAGAAGCAUGGCUUGCUUGUCUUUCCUUCCGAGACGUUCUUGGAUAGCGUUCACCUCAGUCAUUGUAACAUUGACAGUUCCUUCAAUUUAUAUUUGGCAAUUCAAUUUGAUCAUGCGACCUGCCUUCCCAAAAUGUCGUCUCUUGCUGUAUGUUGCAUGUUUCGUCAAAAGAUGAGUUAUUUUCUCGUCAUUCGUCUAAGCUGCACCGAUAGUGAACCAAUUUAAAGCAACAGGUGAUUUCCUUUUCUCCACAGUGUGGUCGCUGCCGUGCCAUGAAGACGGUCUUGUGCCAUGUGAGGGUCCUAUUAUGUUGCAAGACAAAUGUGUUGAAAGGAGGGAAUCUGUUAAGUUUAGUAAUGCACCUGGCUUUUGCAGACAUCCACUCGAGUUAACAAUUGGAAAGUAUCUAUCGAUCUGUGUGUAUAGAUAUAGUACUUACCUAAUAAUCUGACCACUUUGGCUUCAACUGCAGUCCAUUUGGCUGAAAUGUUGUCCAUUGUUACCUGUGUGGGUUGAUUGUAGGUGUUCCACGCCAUGUUCAGGACAUGGCAAAGGCUGUACUUCAUUGCUGUCAUGCAGGUGAUUUUGUUGCAGCCAGCUGGUGAAAGCGAGUUCAAGUCAAAUUUAGCUGAAGCUUCUGGAAGUAGUCUACAUUGCUGGUGUCAUCCUGAAGAGGGGUAGUGUUACUUGCAGUGUAACAGCAACAAAGACAUUUGAAAAGGGGGGGAGAGUUUUCGUGAAAAGAUAGUAGCCUGCUUGAUCAAUCUGAGCUGACUUGACUUGGUGACAGUGUUAAAUUAAAUGUCAAUCUGCUGCAUGUAUUUCAUGAAGCCGGUGUUUUCCAGAAAUGUUGCAGGGAGACUUGGAGCAUAGAUGCAAGAUAACUUCUGAAAUGGAGUUGGUGGAAAUGGAAGGUGGUUUUGCUGUCUGGUUUCUGUUCAAGCUGUUGUUAUGCUGUAUCUGCUGAAAUUUUUGAAGUAGCUGAUGCUGAUGUUAUCCUACAGUUGGUUUUCCAGUGCAAUUUUGUUUGUCUACUAAAAUAUUUUGUCUUAUUUGUUUUCAUCUGUGUAGUUUAUAAUUCAAACUAUUUGAUAUUUUGGUUAUCAAUGUGGUAUGUUGCAGAUUAUGUUGGUGAAAGUACUUUGUGCGGUUGUCUUCGUUGUCUUAAAGCAAUGUUUCAAUUAUUUACUUCAUACUUGAAACCUAAAACUGAAAUUACUUGUUUAAUUUUGUAAACUUAAUUGCUGUUUCAGCAAAUCAUGUAUAAAACUCGUUAAAUAUACAAUUAAACGUUCAAA